GUGGGUGAUCUGCCCUGCACUUUGGGAUAAGCCUGGGAAACUGGGUCUAAUACCGAAUAGGACCACGCGCUUCAUGGUGUGUGGUGGAAAGCUUUUGCGGUGUGGGAUGGGCCCGCGGCCUAUCAGCUUGUUGGUGGGGUAAUGGCCUACCAAGGCGACGACGGGUAGCCGGCCUGAGAGGGUGACCGGCCACACUGGGACUGAGAUACGGCCCAGACUCCUACGGGAGGCAGCAGUGGGGAAUAUUGCACAAUGGGCGCAAGCCUGAUGCAGCGACGCCGCGUGAGGGAUGACGGCCUUCGGGUUGUAAACCUCUUUCAAUAGGGACGAAGCGCAAGUGACGGUACCUAUAGAAGAAGCACCGGCCAACUACGUGCCAGCAGCCGCGGUAAUACGUAGGGUGCGAGCGUUGUCCGGAAUUACUGGGCGUAAAGAGCUCGUAGGUGGUUUGUCGCGUUGUUCGUGAAAACUCACAGCUUAACUGUGGGCGUGCGGGCGAUACGGGCAGACUAGAGUACUGCAGGGGAGACUGGAAUUCCUGGUGUAGCGGUGGAAUGCGCAGAUAUCAGGAGGAACACCGGUGGCGAAGGCGGGUCUCUGGGCAGUAACUGACGCUGAGGAGCGAAAGCGUGGGGAGCGAACAGGAUUAGAUACCCUGGUAGUCCACGCCGUAAACGGUGGGUACUAGGUGUGGGUUCCUUCCUUGGGAUCCGUGCCGUAGCUAACGCAUUAAGUACCCCGCCUGGGGAGUACGGCCGCAAGGCUAAAACUCAAAGGAAUUGACGGGGGCCCGCACAAGCGGCGGAGCAUGUGGAUUAAUUCGAUGCAACGCGAAGAACCUUACCUGGGUUUGA
rnacentral:rRNA from 1 species